rnacentral:lncRNA from 10 species
CAGACACAGAAUUUGCUGGCACCUGGAUUUUGGACUUUCCAGUCUUAUGAACUGAUUAGCUCAAAUUCUUCUUGGAAGGGCUUGCAAGGUUUGCAGGAGGGUGCACAGUCGAUCUGGGGAGAGAAGUAAACACAAGCAAUGAAGAUAGUGGAGUGGCCUGGACGGGAAGCUUCUUUUACAAAGGAAGGAUGACAAGAGCCCACAGUUCUUAUUGUGUAGGUAAAAUGAGCCAGGGGCCAUGCCAACCGCAUCACAUGGAUUAUCACCUUGGAUUUUAACAGUAAGCCAAAGUAACAGCUUUGAGGAUUACAACCACUUGAUAGUCACAAGUGACAGGAGCGGUGCUUGA